GGUCCUGUGAAGGGGCAAUUUCAAGUGGUGGAGGUGGCCAAUGAUGGGGAGAGAAGGAGGAGAAGGAGGGAGGUUCUUGGGUUCUCUUGUAAGGAAGAAGUAGAGAACUACUAGAGAGAGGACAGUGAAGAGGAUCGCACCCAGAAUUGUGUUCUCCAUUUUU